rnacentral:lncRNA from 1 species
UUCAAAUGUCAUUUCAAAAUCUGAUUAAACACAACAAAAAGAUAAAUUCAUUCAAGUUUUUGGAAUAGUUGAAAAUAUUUCUUAAUUAUAAUGACAAAAAAUUAUUAGAAAGAAAUGAAAAGGGGUAAAGAAGGAAAUAUUCGAAGACAUCUAGGAAAGGAACGGAGGAAAAUCGUUCCUUACCCUCAAACGGAUUCGAAUUGCUCUAAGCCUCUGUCUGAACCAAGACGGCGUCGGAUCAUAUUCUAACCUUCUGGUUAUUCUGGAGGCAUUAUUUCUAUUCCAUACAUUCAUUCACCGAAAAAGGAAAACAUGAUAAAAAGCAAAUUAAUUAAUCUUUACUCCGAAUAGAAGGAAGAACAGAGGAAAUUGGAAAACGGAAAAACAAUGUCCAAGGCUGCUUGGGGGACAAUUGAUGAAGAAAGAAAAGCAAAGAGUCCCCUCAAAAGGCCUGAGGCCAAAAAUAUCUGAACGAUAUCUUUGGUUUUUGAAUUGAUUUCUGCCUCCUAACUAAGCCAAAUGUGAAACUUCGAUUUCAUUCACAUGGCUACUCCAAGAGGCAAAUACUAAACCAGCAACAACAAGAAGAAGAAGACGAGCAUUAAUUGGAAAACAGACAAAAAAAAAAAAAAGGGGGACUGCAGAUUGAGAGAGAAGAGAAGAGCCGGUACUGGGGUGACUAUGUCUAGGGUUUUAAAGGGAAGAACAGUAGGGUUUACUGCUAGACUUAUAGCAAUGGUUUCCGAAAUUACAAAAGCAUCCUUGGAUGGGCUCUGUUUGGGUUUCGAAAAGCCUUUAUUAACGAAGGAAAUGUUAAUUUUACAAGCAUAAUGUUUAUAUAAGUCUUUAAAUCAUUUAAAAUAUUUAAAUAAGUUUUAUAUUUUUAUUAAGUUUUUGUAUUUUUAACAUAUCAUGUUAGCGUCAAACAAUAUAGAAUAACAAAUGAUAUUUUGAUUAAAUCAAUCGUCAGUAAUAAAGUUCAUUUGACUCAAAAUAAAAAGUAUAAAGAUUUAUUGAUUUAAAAUAAAAAUAUAAAGAUUUGAUUGAACGUAAUAAAAGUAUAAAAGUUUAUUUGAAUUUUCUUAAAUAGUUUAGAAGUUUUUAAUACAUUAUACCAAUUUUAUAUAGCAUGUAUUAUUAGGGGUGAUAUUAAAAUAAUAAAUCAUAAAUCAUAAAAAUUUAUCUCUCAUAUUAUUCUAAACGUUUUAGGCUUUUUAAUAUAAUCAUAAAAUUUUAGAUAAAUUAUUAAAUUAAAGUAGUUAAAUUACUUUUAUAACAGUGUUAUACUAGUAGAAAUUUAAGUGCGAAACCUAAUUACAUUGAACAAAAACUAUUUUUUUUAACUCAUUAAUUGAUAAAAUAUAAAAGGACUGAAAUCAAUAAGAUUCUUCCUUUUUCUACCGUUCUAAUUAAAUUGACUGGUCAGUAGAAUAUGAAAAAUUAAUUGAUUUAUUUUUAUCAUUUCAAAAGUUUAUUUUCAAAUCAUUAAUUAAUGAGAUGUAAAAAACAUAGAAAUCAAUAUUAUAAUAAUAAUGUCUUAUGAAUAUAAAAAUAAAUAAAUGAAUUAUUCACGGAUACUUUACAUUUGAAAUCAUGUAAGGCCAUAUCAAAAUUCAUCGUCAAAAACAUAAAAUUAUAUUGGUUAUUUAUAAGUCUCACAACACAUAACUUUUAGUAUUUAUUGUUACCAUUCAUGUGUAAACACUCAAGGAAAAAAAAAUUCUACAAUGAGCUUUUAAUACUUAUUUCUUUUCAAUUCAUUAAAUGUCUAAUAAGGAAAAAUUGAAUUUAAUAUGAUAAUUUUAUAUGAAUUUUUAGUUUCUUAUCAUUUUAGUUAAAUUUAAUAGAAUAUGAGACUAAAUUUAGUUAUUUAACAUUUAAUAUUAAUUUAUUUAAAAAAAUAAAGUUUUUAAUACUUGCAUUUAUUAUAUAAUAACCUUAUUUAUAUAUUAUAUAGAUUAUCCUAAUACUUUUAGUAAUACAAGCUAAAGUGUCGAAGCCUUCACAAAUCCAUGCAAGACCAAAAGAAAUAUAUAAUUACAAAAUAAAAAUAAUACCGGCUCAUUGCAAAACAGGGCAUUUACAUAUUGAUUAAAAUAAAUUCUACUAUUAUUAAAAAAAAAAUAUUUGAGUUCAUACUUUUUAAAUCAUUGUGUACUAAUUAAUAAAUCAAAUAUUUGAGUGUUUAUUAUUAUAUAUUUGCAAGAAAAUUUGAUGAUGUUCAAUUAUUUAUUUAUUUAUUUUCUUGUAAAUAUAAAAAGUUCAAUGGGCUCUGUAAUUCUUUUUCGCUUGCAAGAAAGUGAUGGAUCACAAUCAAUUUCCCCAUUAUAUUUGUAAAUUCAAGUUUUAAUUGCAAGAGCAAAACUGUGAAAUGAAUGAGUAAACAAAAGAAAGUGAUGGUACUUCUCUUCAUGGAAAAUGUUUGGCUGUGAUAGGGGAACCAAGUUGACAACCUUCCCAAAAGGAAAGAGACAAAUGAGAAUAAAGUGAAAUUAUGAACAAACAAAUAAUUCAUUAGGUCACCAACAAGCAAAUCACAUCAAUUAAUUAUACAUUAAAAAUGGAAAUAAUAUAGAAAAAUAUGAAUACAAUGACCAGUAGUCACAAGGCAAAAAAAAAUGUAUGUAGAAAAGCAGAAUCCCAACCCAAAAACACCCCCAAGCUUUCUUCUCUUUCUCAUCGCAAUCCUGCCACAUAAUGCACUAACAAAAAGUUGUCUAUGCCCUUUGGAGAAAAAGAAUCGAAGAAGAGAACUCGAGACGAAAGAACUCUAAAUAUAUAAACCCCAAUCUUGAAGAUAGGAAAUUAAAUUUUGUAACUCAGCAACACCACCGUUUUAGAACAGAAGGCCAAAUGCAAGACCAGCGAGGGAAGCAAACACGGUGGGCACGAAGGAGGUAGCGUCCGAGGUAGGGCUAGGGGCCGGGGCAUCAGCUGCCGCAACGUUUUGGACUGCGGACACGGCCAUCAACACGACCACCACGGCCAAAAAUAGUCUCAUCCUGAAUGCCUCCAUUGUUGACGUUUGGAAGAUUUUGUUGCAAGGGGAAGGGAUCGAAUGUGUGGAGGAGACAGAGGGAGGUGAAAUGUUGCUAAGCAAAUCGAGACAAGCAAUGGUGGGGUGGCACAAAAUGGGAUUUAUAUAGGUGAUGGGGGCAAGAGAAAAUUUAGGAGGGUUACGGGCACGCUGCCAGAGGUGACCGUUGCGUCAGCCACAUGCACAUGGUUUCCUAUUUGGGGCUGCCCGUUUGUUGGGACAGGGUGGCUUUAACCUUUAGGUGCCAUACAGCUGUCGCCAACGGUUUCUUGUGGCCAUUCUUUGGAGGGUCCCUUUUCCUUUAACUACCGCUUUUUUUUGGGCAGUGUGGGCAGCUCAGUUGCAUAGAAACUUUCAUUUAAAAAAAGAAAUACUUUUGGAGUCUUUCCAAAAAGACUAUUUUGACCCCAUGGGAAAUCAUGUUCUGCGGUUGGAGUUCAAUUUCCCGAUGGCAAUCUUGGGAUUCGAUGAGAUUAAAUAAUGAUAAAAAGAUUAUAUUAUGAGAUUUGGUUUAGGAGAAGAUAUUUCAGGGUGUUGGGUUUUUUAUUAAUAAUUAUUGAAGUUCAAAAUUUUGAAUUCUUUUUGUUGGAGAUGAAGGGUGGUGUGCUGGCUGUUGGGACCCAUUGAUUCACUGGCAUUCACCAAUUAUCAUAUCACCUGCCCCCAAUCAUCAAUGGCUUUUUGAAAGGAUGGCAUUUGAUUACUUAUAACCAUUUUUUAAAUAUAAAUAAAAACUAUUUCUCCUUUAUCAAUUGUGAUAAUUAAAGGUGAGGUACAUAAUUGUUCAUAAUUUUAUUUUUAGUGAAAGAGAAAGUUCGAGAUAUAUAAGGUGAUUAAUCCGUUGGACAAAAUUAAUAUUCAUCAUACCAUAUAAAGUUUAUAUAUUUACUUUCGAGACAUGAUUUUUAUAAAUUUUAAAUAAUGUUUUUUUUUUUGCAGAUAUAUAAAACCCAUAAACGAGACAUUAAAGCAAUUUAUAUUAACCAAUCAAGAGGCUCAAAAUUAGAACCUCUAAGUUACUAUCUACAUUUCAACCUCACAUUUACAAUUUCAUCUCUAGAUUUUUUUUUUGGUGACAAUAAGACAAUAUGGUUCACGAGCAAUGGUUUCAGAGGCAUGCAUCACACCCAAUUUCAUUGUCUAAGGUCACAAAAAUCUUGUUCAUUUUUUUUUUUUUUUAAAGUUUCUCCAAAGCCACCAUCUCCUUCCUUCCACAAUUCACAUCCACAAAAUUCAUAUGAAGCAAAUAAAACAUGGAGAGUUAUUUAAAAAAAAAAAGUGUGUAAAGACCUAUUUGCAUCCUACUUUUUGUAAUUAAUGAAGUGUUUUUUUUCCCUAAUUUUGAUUGUUGCCAUCACAUGAUUGUGGCUUAAUUUACACUUCAACUGAAAAAUUCAUUGAACUAUGUCAUGUGGUAUUAGUUUGUUAGUUGAAGUCACCCCACCAGAGUGUUAAUUAAUCAUCAUUUUUUCACAUCCAAUCAGUUGUUUAUGUUUGUCAUUGUAUCCCAUUGCCAUAUAUAACAGGUUGUCUCAAUCCAAUUCGAAUACAAAUUUCGCUAUCAUUCAAAGAAUAACGAAUCGGAAGAUAAUCUUCUUUUAUCGAAUUACUUAUUUAUUUUCGAUAAUUCUAUUUUGAUAAUUAAGUUGAAAAAGAAAGAUUAAAAAGUUUGAUUUCUUCACUGAAAGACAAAGCAUGACUAUUAACAUUCGAAUAUUUGACUUAAUAAUCAAUUGUUAAAAAAAGGGUUGCAUAUUGAAUAUCUCUACUAUCCAACUUACUUAUUUGAUUGUAUUGAAAUGAGAGGAGAUACUUACUUUUAUUUUUUCUGUUUUUGCUGUGCAAACAAUAGUGCCAUUACAAAAAGAUGUAUGAUAAGUUAUCUUAUCAAAUUAAAUUAAUGUCCUUCCACUCUUUGAUAGAAGAAAGCAUGCAAUGUACGGAUGCAAUUGCCCUCCUUUUUCUUCCAUUGUAAGCAAGCAAUCCAAUCAUAUGAUCUCAUUUCCCCCUCUGCUUUUCGAAUACAGGCAGAAGCUGCCACCAAACAGAACGGAAAUAAAGAUAAAGUCAUUGAAAAUGAUAUUAAGGUGUUGAAUAGUGCUGUCUAACGACCCAAUCUUCAUUAAGACUUCGUGCUAGCAACACUUGGAGUAGCAUCAUCCUUUUAAUUAUUAACUUCAGACAAGUUUAAGCACUCUUUUUGAGUUGCAAUUAUGGUAUUGGGAAAAUAACCAAUGGCAUGGAUCCCCUGCUCUUUGAAUUAGUCUGCCUUAUAUUCAUCUUAUCAAUGCAAGUGCAACGGUACAAAUAUCUUCAACUUUUUAAUUUUCUCUUGCUUUCAUCUUUUUAUUACUUUGAUAUAUUUGAGAAAAUCUAAAGGAGAAUAGAUUCAAAUUUUGAAUUUGAAUAUUAAGUCUCAACUUUAUGUAAGAAAGAUGAUCGUAAUAAGAGAAAAUAAGACGAUUUUGUUUUGAAAUUUUGUCAAAAUAUACAAUGAAUUUGCUUCCAAGUUUUUUAUUAAGUGAUCUAAACCAAUUUGAAAUGGAAUCCGAACUAAUUCGAUAUUAUAUUUUAUGUUCUGUCUAUACUCGAGCUUAUGUUAAGUAAUGAAAAAUAAAAUCAAAUUUCAAUACAGAUUGUAAAAAAAAAAAAAGAUAAAAGAAGAUAGAAGGUUUUGAUGGGAAAAUCAUUCCAAAUGUACUUUAAACAAGUUGGUAAAUUAGGAGUGCCUGUAUAUGUCUUGCCUUCACUAGACAAGAGAGAAACAUAGCUGCCCACAGGCUUAGUUUAGCUCAUCAUAGAAGAUAAUCUAUAUAUAUAAAUAUCUUUUUUUACUUUUAAUUCUUUUUUAGUGGCACGUAGUCUUUAUCUUGAUCCAGGUCAAUAGUUUUGUUGGAUGAUCCAAAAAUCUUAUGUUCUUGUUCAUCUUCUUUAUAAGAGUUGAUAGAUUGAAGUAUUUUUGUCAUGAUUUUCUUGUCUUCUUAUUUAUUUUUUGCUUCGGCAAGUAGUGUACUUGCAUUUGAUUUUACUUGUAAAAAUUUGACAACUUCUUGAUAUGAGGUAGCUAUUUUGCAUGAUGCUGGGUCUACUACAACUUAUAAAACAAACUUUAAAACAGCUAGAGUUUCUAUUUCUUCAAUACCAUCCGCCAUUAGGAUGAAUUUACAAGGGAUAAAUAAUUCUUCAAAUAUACCUCAAUUAACAUACAACAGGUAAGAACCUAGCCCAACCAAUUCACUUAACAUAUCUCCAACACAUUUGUCAAUGACCAAUAAUCUAAACAUAAUUUAGCUGGUGAAGAAAAUUUUGAAAUCUUUGUACUAGAAAAAGAGUUUAAAAUCAAUAAAGAAUUGUGUAGAAAGCAUUACUACUUUGAAAAAAAUAAAAAAAGAAAAAUUUAUUUAGUAACCUAUAAAAAUGAAAAAGAUCAAAUUCUACAAAAAUAUUAUAAUUUCAUGAAAAAUUAUAAGAUUCUAAUAAAAUUCUUUACAGAGUUUGAAGAAUAUUACUUAGGAUCAAUAAACACUACAAAAAACAUAGUCAAAUGGCAAACAAAUAGAGGAAAAAUUAAAUCCCAACACUCUCUUUGAUAGAAGUUCAAUAUUCUCACAAAAAUAUAAGAAUCAGAGUAACUCUUUUAAAAAUGAGGUUCUUAGACUUAAGAAAACAAGUUUAUUUUAAAAAUAUAAAAAUUAUAGUUGAACAAAUCUAAAUCUUUAUAUCAUUACAAAAUAACUAGAAAAUAUAAAAACGUUAAUUAAAAACCAAUCAAAAUUUACUCAAACUCAAAUAAUAAACACAAAAGUCGUUCAAUAUAUAUAUAUAUAUAAUACAAAUUACAGCACAACUAAGAAUCUAGUCUUUCACCAUAAUCAAAUGAUUCAGGCAGCAGCCAAGAAUGAGAGAGAAGUCAAGAUGACACGCUUCCGAAGAUGACUUGAUGAAGCUGGUUCCCAGGAUGCGUAGCUCCUGGUUAAAAUGAAAUGAUUGUUUUUACACUAAAUUCUAAGGUUGAAUUUCAACUUUCAAGAGCACACUUCCAAAUUCAAACGCUUUGAAAUUAAGGAAGCAAAAGAAAAUGUAGCGGCUGAAAGGACUAGACUGGGAAAGUGAGGAUCAGGAUCUAUACUUGGAGCUUUUUUCUUUAUUUGAGUUUGACUUAAACGGCUCAUUUUGUUGUUUAUAUAUACACGUAUCAAGAAUAGUGGUGUGCCUUUGGAAGGACAAAAGCAAACAAUAUUACAUCACUUACCAACCAAAUUUUAUGUAUUAAACAAAAUUACCCAUGAGAGCUUUAUUUUUGUUAUUAAAUUAAAUUAAAUUAUUUUUUAUACGUCAUGGACAAAAGUUUUAAACUUCACGAGUACAAUUAAAAAUAUCAAUACAUAACUCGAUAAGUUUACUAUUAAAUUGAAAGAUAAUUCACACCUUACGAAAUGCCAAUAAGAUUGCGAAUCAGCUGGAGUACUGUAGAAGAACGAUCUCAUCAGUUUCUUAUCAUAAAGUUGGUAAUAUUUAAUUUAUAUUUUGUGCUGAUGUCUUUUUCGGGACAUUGUUGAUUCUACUGUAAUGAUAUAUGAUUGUGAGCUUUCUUUUAAAUGUUGGUUGACUUCUUGAAGAUGAGAGUUUUUUUUUUUCUAGACAAGAAGGAAAUUUUGAGAAGUUUUUUGGUAAACUUCUUUUUAGAUGAGGUUAUGCUUAUUUCUUUGUGAUGCAAUAUUUGGUGUUUUAGCUUUCUAACAGUAAAUUCCAUGCUGUAAAGAGAUUAUUCCUUAUUCAUAUUAAUGAGUUUACUUAUAUAUAAAAAAAAUCUUCCCGUUGUAUCAAGAUAAUUUUCCUUAAUUAAUGUUGCACUAAAUUGGUUGAAAAUUUGUGAAGUUAAACUAAAGUCAAACUAGGAAGGAUUUGAAAUUCCUCUAGGCUUGAAGGGCUGAUAAGAAUUAAUAAUGUCAUUGUUGUUUUACAUGAGUGAAGGGUUAUUUGGUUCUCUUCAUAAUAGAAAAAGCUAAGCUCCAAGAUAAAAAAAAUUAUAAUUUUUUUAUUUGCAAGAAAUUAUAAUUAAAUAGCUGGUUCCUACUUAGGGAAAAAGAAAGAGGUUAACUUUUAGGUUAUAAUGUAAAGCUUCUUUAAUUUGUUUUUAUUUGUAACGGUGAUAAGACGAUCACCAUAUCUUAUAAGCAAUAAAACGUUUCGGGAAAAAAGUUCAAAUUUUUAAUUAUAUUUUGUUAGUGUUAGCCGACCUAAAACAAUAUAAUAUAUGCCAAGUAAUUACAGUCUAAAGAAUCAAAGAUACACAAAAAAUACAUUUCACAAAGGUAUAAAGGGUUCCAUAUAUAUAUAUAUAUACAUUUCACAAUUAGUCUUUUUUUUUAAUUUUUUAUUUUAAAUCCUCAAUCCAUAAUUUUUAAACAUUUAAAAAGAAAAAAAAUUUAAUUUCAAGUCAAUAAUUUUUAAUGUCACAUUAUUUGUCACGUGACACUGACGUUAUUAAGAUAAUGCAUCAACAUGUUAUAUGACAGAUAACAUAGUACAAAAAAUUGUUGACUGUAUCAUUACUUAACGGAAGUUAGUUAACAAUUAAUUAAAGAGACUUAUUUGAAUAAAAAUAAAAAUUUAAGAAUUUAUUUAAAUAAAAUAAAAGGAUAAGAAUUAAAUUAACUUUUUUGAUAUAAUUUAAAAUUUUAUUUAAAUAUUUAAUCUACUUUUUAUUUUAUUAGGAAAAAGGGCAUCUUAUUAUAAUAUUCUUUUGUCCAUAAAUAUAUUUAGGACCGGACUGAAGCCCGUCUUCGGUAAGGUUUUAGGAGUUGGAAAGCCCAAAGGGAAUCAAGGUGCUUAAAAUCCGAAAUCCAGAGCUUUUAGCCCAAAACUUGACUAGGGUUGAACCCAACCUACUUUGGUUCUGGAUUGGUUAACCAACUCACUGAAUAUGUAUACAAAUAAUUUUGUCUUUUUGCUUAAUCUAAUUUUCCUAUAAUGGAAGAAAAAUAAUGAAAAUUGAUAAUAAACUAAAGUGGGACCCGCAUGCCAUCAAGCCGUAAAAUUCAAAAUCUGACGGUCCCUAUUAAUCUAAUUUUAUUUUUAUUUUCAGUAUUGGUAGGACGAGGGGAGAAAGAUGAUAAAUAAUAAACAGAGGGAGAAGAGAAAGAGAGGAUUCACAAUUCACAAAGCAAGGUUGGAGAGAAGAAACACAAUAGAAUUAGACUGAAGAGAAACAGAGAAAGUGCAAGAAGAGAGCACUCCUCAAUUGGACAAACAAAACAGAGAAACUGAAGCAAUAAUUUAGGAAAAAAUAAUUCCAACUCUUGUUUUCCAUCUGGGAUGAGAGUACAUCACUGUAAGAUUUCUUUCUCUUCUUCUUCUUCUUCUUCUUUUGUUAUUCCAGACUUUUUUCUGAAGUUGGUAAUUAACAUCUCUUUUGUUUGGAAUUUCAGGUCUUUUUUUGAAGAUUAUAGUGUAAUUUGUUUAGAUCUUUAAGGUCUGGCAACCAAUUCCUCUCUCCUUAAAGCUUGUCUCCUCUGAUGACUCUUCUCUCACUUUUUACUUAAAAACAGCAAAAACCCAAACUUUAUUUUCAUCAUUUCUGUGAUUUUCACAGCAUAAACCACCACCCAAAUGGGUUUUCUCCAAGGGAAAAAAAUAAUAAAUCCAUUUAUUGCUUAAUCCUCUUUCAACAAAUAUUCCAUCUUGGGUCUUUCAAAAUUUUGUCACUUUUCUUCAAAUUUGAUUAUUUUGGGUGAAAAAAGUUUGAAACUUUUUUUUUUAUUUAAUUUGGUUUUGUUGUUGUUGAUGGCAGAGAUGGAGAAAGAAGAGAGGGGCCAAAAAACAUGCAAAACAAUAGAGCCAGAGCUAUUUUUACAGUGGGGGAAUAGAAAGAGGCUAAGAUGUGUGAGAGUUAAAGAUCCUCAAAAAAUCUCUCAUAAAUCUAAUGCUGUAAUUCGUAGGAGAAUCACUUCUCGGCUUUUAGAGAAGGAAUCCUCCCCUUUUUCUCAACCCAAUCAUCGUCUCACUAGGUAAGAAGAUCAAAUUUUUUGGGCUUCUUUAUUUUAAAAAUCCUGAAAUUUUCUUGGCCCCUUUUGUUGGUUUCGGAAAAGAUGAGAUUUUCUUCGUUAUUUACAAAUAUUUUUUAAAUUUUUUUGUUAUCCUUCUGUUUGGUUUCUGAGAAAAGAUUGAAUUUCGUUUAACUUUUUAUCCUAAUUAGAUGUGGAUGGCUAUGGAAUUUUGGGGGGCAAAAAAAAAAAAAAGAAAGAAAAAGACUAUUUCCGUGUCUCGGCCGCCUAGCAGCGGUUAAGGAAUUUCUUAUUUCCGAUAAAAUGAGCCCUGUUUGGUUGCUGGGAGUAGAGAGAAGGGAAGUUUGAAUUUGUCUGGUUUAUUUUAUUUUAGUUUUAUGGCUACCAUUUUUUGGUCCCUUUGCAACCAAACACGGUGUUAAGAAAUUCCCAAGUAAAAUUUUUAUAAUGUAUAAGCAUACUGGUAGAACUGUGAAAUUUACUUCUUUUUUGGUAUGUUUGGUUGUAGGAAUUCUGAGGCAGCUAUACUCCGGUCAGGUACAACGGAGCACCGGAAAACUUUGUCAUCGGAGAAGGAGGAUAGGUACUACACAACAAGGGGCUCAUCAGUAGGUUUGGUGGAUGAGAAUGGGAAGGUUGCAGAUAGUAACAAUGGAGAGGAUAACAAAGGGCUAGUGUGGCCAAAGCUGUUUAUCACUUUGUCAAGCAAAGAGAAAGAGGAAGAUUUUAUGGCAAUGAAAGGGUGUAAACCCCCUCAAAGGCCUAAAAAGAGAGCCAAGAUUAUCCAAAGGAGCUUACUUGUAAGUAACAUUGCUGGAUUUAUGCAUAUCUUUCAGUAAUUGAAGCAUGUGUAGGUUUUUUUUUUUUUUUUGAUGGGGAAAAGAAAAUUGAUGAUAUCAAAUUCUUGAAUUGGUUUCUGGGUUGGUUUCUUUUUGGAGGGAAAGGAAUUUUCUCUUUGGAUUGAUGCAGGAUUGAGACAUGAUGAUUUAGAUCUUGUGGAUUUCAUUGAACUUCGGUUUCCUUUUUUGGUCUAAUAUUGACAUCUUUUGGUGGUCGGUAGCUGGUGAGCCCUGGGGCAUGGUUGACUGAUAUGUGCCAAGAGAGGUAUGAAGUUAGGGAAAAGAAGAGCUCUAAGAAGGUACAUGAUUGGGUCUCUCUUCCUCUAGAUUUCUACAAUAAUUUUUGAGAUUUGAUUUGCAGUUUUCAAUAUAUUCUGCAGAUGUAGUUAAUUCUUUUUUAAAUCAUGUGGUUUGGCAUUAUGCAGAGACCUAGAGGAUUGAAGGCCAUGGGGAGUAUGGAAAGUGAUUCAGAUUGAGAGAUAUGUCCAUACAUGGCAGCCGCAGAGGCUUUUUCUCUUCUGAAUUUUGGGGAAUAUUUUUGCAUUUGAUGUCAAUGGGGUUGUUGGAGUUUUGGAGAGAAAAAUAUAGAAAAGUUAAGGAGUCCCUGCAGGGUUUGUUGUAUAGAAGUUAAAAAUUUCAUUUUUAUAAAUGAGAAUAAUCAUCUUUUCUCUCAAUUCAUUCCCAUACUCCCAAAAUUUACUGCAGACAAAUGCAUGUGGCGCACUUCUUUCUACCUUUUGUUCCUGAUCAAAUUGUAUAAUUUUGGUAAACUAUGAUAUGUUAAGAGCACUACAUUGAAAUCCCAUUGAGACUUUGUCCUUACUGUUAUGCAUGUGGUCAAAUGAAGUAGUACAUAUGGUCAAAAAUUUUGUCAAAUUCGAUGGCUAGAUUGGCCUGAUCAUUAUGCCUGACAAAAACCAUAUGACAAUGGUUCUGUUGAUUUUAGAGGGUAGCAUUUGUCAGUGUCUGUUCUGGUUGGAUUCUCCUUUCAAGAAUUCAAGGACAUCCUUUCUCCUUAGAGAAACCAAAUAUGAAAAUUUUCCUAAAAUGUCGUAACCUGGAGGAGCAUUUGGAUGGAAAUUCUGCAUUCUUUCCUGAUUAGCAAGCAACAGAAUCCAUUUCAAGAGCAAAUUAAGUAUCUGAAUACUCUGGAAACAACCAAAAGGCCCAAACUAUAGUAGGAGGAAAAGUAACACAAGGAUGCAUCGGCUAUUCAGGUGAUCCAUGUUAAAUCUAACCUCAAUCAUUUUGUUAGCUCCCAAACGCCCUGGCCAAUGGCUGUUUGUUGGUUGCAACUAUCAAAUCUACAGAAUAUCCACUGGGAAUUGAACAAAGUACUUUGCUAGUCUCUUUAUAUUCUCUCUGCACAUGACCAUUCAGUCAAAUUACUCUGCCAAACCUCUGAAUCUCAUCUAGCUAUAUUUUGGCUCCAACAGUUCAACUUUUAUCAAAUCUACUUUAUAAGGACAGUGAGGGAAAGGAGAAGCUAUUAUAUCUUGGCAAAGUAUAUGCAGGAAUUCCCAAACCCGUUUCAUAUCUCAUGAUUUCAACUUUCAAAUGGUUUCAUUAACUCUAAUGACAACAACAUGAAAUGAAAGUUUCUGAGGUAUAAGAUGCAAAAAAGCCAAUUAUCUCAGCUGGUUGUCUUCAGGAAUUGUAUCUUUAUUGCGAUGUCUUUUGGAAUUCUAUGUUGGUCUGUAUUCUGUAGAAGUAAGAUGCAAAUAAAAAACGGGAUCCUGCAAAAACAAGCCAGUAAGCAUGAUAAGACUCCAAGUUCGGAUAACACUGCCAGUACACAAUUCAUAAUGCAUGGUAAUUCAGCACAACCUAAAGAUUUAGCAUCUAAGCUAGAUGGCAGUUUUACUAUGCACAUAUUUCAUAAGACAAUUUAAUAGUUUCCUGAAAAGAAUAUUCAGACUAGGUUUCCUUUACCAUGCUCAACCUGAGCAAUUGCAAUCAUAAAGAUGUGCAGUUCAGUUUAUACAAACAGAAUUCUUCAUUCAUUGCUAAGUGAAAGCAAAAAUUUAGUUGAAGAAACUUUCUCACCUCUUUGGUCUCUUUUAGCAGUGUGGUUAAUUGACUUGAGACCGGGCAGCUUGGAGCAUAUCUACAAUAAGGGUUUUCACAUCCCUAAGACAUGCAAGAAAAAUCAGAUUGAACAAGAAUAAAACACAAAUAACACAGUCAAACGUCACAUAGCGUCCCCCCAAGCUAUUGUUCUUUUAUGUAAAGUCUUAGCCAGUCAGAAACAACCCAGAUCAAAAGACAAUCAAGUCGCUCCUAUUUAAAUUACCGGACAAAAGAAGACAAUAUGCCUGUCCUCCCAUUUCUUUCAAUAUCUUUUGCCAGGAUGUUAUAAUUUCAUUGUCAUUGGGAAAGAAAAUUAAGCUGAGAAUCUCAGCAAAAAUGCCUUAUUUAGAACAGAUGACAAGUAAAAAAUCAUGUAAAGUUUCUCCAGAGAUUAGAAAUCUUUCAUAUAAGAUAUCUCACUUUCUGUCUUCAGCACGUCUAGGAAAAGGAAUCCGAAGCUUGAAAGUAUUUCCUUGAUAACCAGCCUGCAGGGAAAAAGGAAAAGGGAAAAAGAGUCAUAGAGCAAAAAUUUGAAUGCGGAGAAGAAGAGACUCGCAAGGCAAUAGUGAAGGGAAUUUUCAGAGUAGUUAAUUUCCAAGUAAUUCAAAAGUCACUUUCCAUUAGCCAAUACAAUAGAUUCUGUAUAAAAGGUUAAAAGUUAUCAGAACCUUGACAUUGAAUCCAAGACUAUCCAAAUCCAGCAUGUAAGCAUAGUCCACCUGGAGGGACACAAAAAUCAGCUAGGGAAAGGGCAAGAACAAAAGCAAGAUAUGUUAACAGUCUCUGUCAAUAAAAGGUCUUUGAUGUAAAAAACUAAGGAAAAGGAAAAUCAUCACAUUGAAAACAAGUGAUGGAAGCUUGCUAAGAAAUGGACCUGCAAGUCAUGUUCUGAGAAGAAAAGUCAUUAGUUGGGGGUGGGGGGGGGAGGUUCUAUUGCAGGUGAAGAUAGUAGAAACCAUGUUAUUAUUAAAUAUUAAGUUUCAAAAAAAAAAGAAAAAAUUAUUAAAAUAUUGAUGCACUUUUGGAUUGAAGAAACAUCUGGGCAGAUAUCAGUACACAUGGCAGCCUGAACUCAGACACGGAUAAAUUCAACAAUUUUAGCCAAAUUAUUAAACUAUAAAUGCUACCUAAUGAAAACAUUAAGCAUUAAUUAUUCAUUUCUCUUACUCUAAUUUCAGUAGUGGGCCUAGGAUAGCUAUUGAGGGAUGUUCUUUAAUUUUCCAGCUUAACCAGCAGUGGCUAGCUGGAUUCAAUAUAAUAUGGAUAAGAUUUUCCACUUCCUAUAAGAUAUAGAGUGUCAAAAGUAAUAUUCCUAAUUACCGGGAUUGAUGUUGAAUGUUGCACAAUGACUUUUGUGUCUUCAGCAUGAUCCUUGUUCAUAUGAGACUGAAAAAAAAAUGGAGUGUCAAUAAGAAGGUCAGAAGAACAAAUGAAAUGUAGUACAGAAGAAAAUGAACUGCCACAAUACCGCAACAGGCUUAGAGAAUUGAGCUAUUGCAUCAACUUUUGAAGCCUGGUACUCCUCUUUGCUGAACUCUAAAAAUAUAAAAAAAAGAAAAUACAUAAGAUAAAAUAAAAAAAGAUGGUCAGGAGAUAGGAUAGCACCACAAACAAAUCCCUAAGAGUUGCUGAAACGAUAAAUAAAAUGGGUGACGAUGCAGCAGCAAAAUCACUGCUCAGUGUCUAGCCUUAUAUGAGGUGGGCAACAUUAAUACCCUAGAAAACAGAUAACAGAGUAGAAAACAUGUAGGAUAGAUACAGAAAAAUAAUCAGAGCACAAACCUCCUGAUCCUAGCAAAGCUGUUGCAACACCUGAUACAUAUCUCACAACCUUUGGUUCAAUCCGCAUAAAUUGGAAGUCACCAAAGUCAACCUUCAAAAUGAAAGUAUAUGUUGAGUUUUCUAUCUAAACAGAUAAGGUAAUAACAUUUAUCCAAAGAACAUAGCAUGCAGAGAGAUGCAAGGCACACAUACCCAGAAUGCAUUGGGGUGUUUAGCCAAAUAAGCAGUUCGAACAGCUGCUUGAUCAUUUUCAGAAACCUAUAGCAUUUUAAACAUUUCAGAACUAAAUGUAAGGAUGUUAAAUAGUAAGAUGUAGGGCUCACAAUGAGUUUAAAAUCAGAAUCCCCCAAGAGAUACAGAACAGGACAAAGGGAAAUAACAAACAACUUACAGCAACAGCAUCACCAUGCAGGGUGAUUACUAAAUCAGUCCUAUCCUCAGGAUCUCUAGCGACAAGCAAAGAACAUUUGGAAUUAGCCAAUAGAUCCUGCAGAAAGCAGCAAGUUUUAAUAAUUACUAGGUAAAAAGGACUAAACUUGCUGGCCAGGUCAAAAAAAGGACAAUAGGAUUAACAAUGGAGACACUUCCAAAUGGUAGACUGAGGGCAGGUUGGUGGCUAGAACGUAAGCAACUAAUCCUAAUAACAAAAACACACGCAUUUAUUAGAGCUUUCCUGGCUGUCAACAAUGGCUUUCUCAAACUUGGCAACAUGACUAUCAUUAUCAAUAUAAAAUUCUGAUAAUUAACAUGAUUCAAAUGUAUGGGUCUCCAUCUGCACACAUAAGACUAAUCGGAACAUUCUAUCCAAUAUCUCUUUGAUGUUUCAAUCCCUCCUCUCCUAAUUCCUCAGAGCCAGAGCAAUGGAUGAAUAGAUUCCAACUCAAAGCAUUCAUCCAAGUAAAAUUCAAAAUCUCAGUGAGAACCUUGGUAUGAACUGCCAGGCUGCUGACUGCUAAUGUUGGAGAUCCAUUGGCAUCACAUGCAAAGUCAACCAUUGACCCCGAUGGAUAACCCUCAUGCUUCUGCACAUAGAAAAGAAGUCAAAAUGAGUGGUAACACCUAGAAAAAUGUCUUAAGUGAUGAAUAUUAUGACCAAUUAUCCAAACCAAAGAAAACCUAACAAACAAGAGGUUGAUCCCACUUAUUAGUAGUGGCAUAUGGAAACUUACAAGGAAUCCUAAAAUGAGUUGAUCAGGCACAUAUAAGCCAUUGUUUUAAUUCCAUAUGUAGACUUUCAAAAUAAGUGCCAAAGGAACCUAGAUUGUGGAAGAUCUUGUUUCCAUCAUAUAGUUUCUGUAUAGAAAAUAUAAGUUGUAACAGCAUUCAACUUUUGAGAGCAUGGUCUACGAUACUGUAAGUGCAGCUAGGAGGGAUGAAAAAUGAGCAAAAUUUGCAAGAUUCAGCUACAGCUUGUACAAGUUUAGAUUAUAGGAAGCUCAUGCAGCUAGUUGAUUAAGUUUAUAUGCAUUAUGAAGAUGUGCAAUGGUUACAAGAUUCAUUUUCUCAAUUUUAGAAUUCUCUGCUAGUUGAUGAGAUUAUGAUCCGCAUAACAAGAAUCCUUCAAAAUCCUUUAUUCCUAAUCAUCUUGAUGGAAAGAGUAGAGCAACAGACAACACUCUUACAAGAAGGUCACAAGUGAUUGGCAAGUGACUUUCACUUUUAAAAUUCAUGAGGUAUUAACACCAUUCAAGUACCUCUCGUUUCUUUGAACAAGAUAGAAUACACAAAGGAUCAGACAAAAGUUAAAAAGACGAAAACUCUAGGACAGGAAUCAAUAACCAUCUUCAAGCUUUCAGCUUGUUCAUAAAAUCAAAUCAAGAACCACUCACUCUUACAAUUAAGCCAAUUGUUUUUAAAGACUAAACAAGUAUUGAAGGUAUCAUGUUAGUACCCUUCAUGCUCUCAAUUAACCAGAAAUUAUAAAUGAUCAACUAGUACUAUGAUCACAAACCUCUGAAAAAGUUGAAAGCAUGCCACGCGUGCUUUGAUCAAGCACGGUUCGAAUUUCCUCCACCGGAGGAAGCCUAGCAGCCUUCUCCUGAAAAUAAAACAACCCCAUAUCAAUAACUUCCAAACCCCAUUUGACUUCAAUACAAAACGAACAAAAGCCACACACAUACAGCAAACACGUUUAAACAUUACAAACCCAAAACUAAACGAACCUGGUGAGCUUGAACCAACUGAAACACAUUGGUUUCCUUGUUAACAUCCCCAGGAGACACGGCCUGGCAACAUAAACAAAAAACCCAUUAAUUUCAUAACAAAAAGAAAGUUCAUUUCCAAUCAAUCUCCUCUUUUUCAGAUAAAAAUCAAUACAAAAAAGAAAACCCCAGUUUUUCUUUUGUUUUCCUUUUUUUAAGAAACAAACAGAAAGUAAGUUGAGUGUAAAUUACCUGAGAAGAAGACGGAGUUGCAGAGGCCAUGAUGGAGAGAGGUCUAGGAAAAGGAAUGAGAGAGAAAGGAGAGUGGCAAAGUUGAAACAUGGGAGAAGAUGAAGGGCUUUUAUAGACCUUUAAGCGUGAAACUAGGGAGAGUGUACAAGGUGCUGCUAAAGUCCUCAUCUUCUCCACCUAACCAGCCUAGAUUGCUACAAGCUUUGAAACGUCUUACCAAAGCAAACUAUUUUUUCUGCUAUUUGUUUAUUUACUUACUAAUAACAAGUUGAAAGGCUGUUUGACAAGCUGUUAAAAAUGUUAAAAUGUAAACCUUGAGAAAUGGAGAUAGGAGGUUGAAGAAGAAGGUCGCCAAACAAAAGGGGCCCAGGGAGAUGAUAGGUCCAAUUUUCAGAGGACAAUAUAUAUUUGGAAUUGAGUUACUUUAACAUCAAUAUUGAUCAUAUUGUACACAUAUUUAUUUAUGUAUUCUCAUUUAAACCCACAUUCAAUUCCUUGCUUAGACUCAAUUUAAUUUCAUAUUAAUCUUACUGUUCAUGACUAGAGUGUGCAAUUAGAGACUCAAUUCUACUAUCCCAUUCAUGAAUAUUCCUUACAUUUUUUUAAUGAAAUUCCAUUUAAGGAAAUUAGUUUUAUAGUCAAUGGAAUAAGAUUGUGUUCAUCUUAAUAUUAAUUUAUGGGUAAUAAUUUAGGUUCUCAAGAACCUAAACUGUCCCAAUAAGUUGGACGAACGAAGAGAUUAGUAGUAAAACAAAACUCAAGUAUUUGGCCAAAGUUUCAACAAAUUAAUUUCAGAAAGUUUAAGUAAAGUAAACUUGCAACAUAACAAAAUCAGAAUUGCAAUUUGCAUUUCUUGGCUUGCACAAGAAACAACAAUAGUAAUCUUCCUUUGGAAAUAAAGAAUCAAAUAAUCUUGAAUCCACCAAUUUGGACAGAACAACAAUCUUGACAGAUUGUAGUAAAACUAUCAUUCUGAUUCUAGUGUGUAUAUACAGAUUGGCUUCUUAGGCUAUCUUAUGGACGGGCUAUAACUAUCUUUCUAAUUCUACUAUAUACACAAGGUUUUGAUAUAUUUUGCGUUAGAAUCAAAACAAGGUCACAUUCAAGCAUUGACUGGCUUAAUGUCUCUAGAACGCAUGUAACUCAAAAACUGCCCAGGCAGCUCUUCCAGUAGAGCUUGAACAACAGAAAUCCGGCAGCCUGUAAAAACGCCAUCAUCUGAUUAGUAAAAUUGAAUUGAAGAGAAGCAAGUAAAACGAAGAAGAGGAGGCUAAUAUCAAAAGUAAUAUCAAGUAGAAAAAAGUUGGAGUCGAGUAUCACUAUAUCCAAUUGUCUUAGGCUUGUAAAAAGAUACAAUUAUAAUCAAGUGAUUAAGAGCUCUGUCUGAGUCAUUUAGCCUAUAACAUUUAGAAUUGUAACCAGCACAAGAGCUUGCCAAUUUUUUCAAACAUCCAAGCUGAGUCAACUACUACUUUAAAGUCUCCAAAUACGUAUUUCCAAUGUUUUCCUGAGGCAGAAAUUUAGUGCAGCUCAUGCACCAUUGGCAGCAGACCUUUUCUUUUAUUAGUACAUAGGAGCGGGAAAACCUGUUAAAAAGCACAAGCCCUAAGCCUAGCAACUCCAAGACAAUCCUCUAGCAGACCCUACUUUCACCUUAAGCACAAAUUCUUUUCUUUAAUCCCCCUAUAUUCCUCACUUUGCGAAAGGAAUAUACUAGUAUCAUACGGAACAGUCUACAAUCUCAGGACAAACCCACUCAGACUACAUACCUUGCAGGCUUGCACAUAAGGAAGACAAUUGACAGCCUAGGCUGUCCCAUUUUACUACUUUGUUCCAAGAGACGAGACAGCCUGCUUUAGGUUUUCAGGUCAUUUUAAGAACCAACUUAAAGCCAUUUAACUAUCAAAUUCCCAAACCAUUUCAUCUUGAGAAAUCACAAGGCAAUGAUAUCUGUUUCUUUUAUGUGCCCUUUGAUCGUAAGUUGGGGAGAAAGGAUUUAAUCUUGAAUACUUCAUCUUAGAGAAAAUGAGAACAAACAUGCAUCCAAAGGCAGAAAAAUGGCUUACUAUACACUUCUCGCAUAGGAACAAAUUGUACAAUGUCUCGUGUAGCCAAACGGCCUGCUGAACUCUCCAAUCGAUGUCCAUUAUCAGCAUCCAGAAUCUACAAUAAGACACGGAGCUUUUUCCUUGGUUACUCUUUUAGUGGCAAAAUUACAGGCAACUACAGCUCAAUGAGUCUAGUAAUGCAAAAACUGACAAUUCAAAUAUGCUGAGGGUUCUAGAAAACAAGGGCAUACCUCCAUUUGUUUAAAGUCUGCAUCCCCCACUCCAACUAUAAGAAUAGACAGAGGAAGAUCAGAUGCCCUAACCAAAGCCUCCAUUGUUUCUUGCAUAUCCGUCAGCACUCCAUCCUGGCCAAAGAUCUUUGUAAGUUAGACAAAGAAUAAUAGUUCUUAACGCACAUAGAAGUAAUAGCUCCAUUUUACCGUUAUAAUGAGCAACACAAAAUAUUUGGCAAUGUCAUUUGAGAUAGUCUGGCCAGCUAUUUGUGCAGCCGUGUUGAUCACAUGCCCAAACAAAGUGGGUCCAGCCAGAGUGACAUUGUGCAGAGCAUUAGCAUAAGCAGCCAUGAUGCCUUCAACUCCUUCAACCUGUUAAAGGAAGUAAAUUAACUAGUCUUGAAAAAGAAAUAAAUGCAAGCUUCAACAUGUGUGAAUCUAGUGCUAACAAGCAAGAGCAACCAAACAAAUUAGCUGCAACUUUUAGUCAAUAGAAAAUGUAAUAUUGGUCUCAUAACAACACUGGUUAUAAUGUAAAUCUUUUCUUUUUUUGGCCUGCAACUGAUUGGCCAGUUAUGAAAAAGAACGAAUAUAUAAGAAAAUUCACUGCAUAAACAUUUGUGAACUUGGGAAAUGAAGAUUUUGAAUGAAGUUAAAGCGAAAGUAUGAUAUUCCAGAGUGAAGGGUUCAUAUUUUCAGAUCAACAUUAUAGAACUCAAAUAACCUUAAUCACAUACAAAAAGUAAUGACAGUGCUAAUAAUGAUGAUUUUUUUUUUUAAAUGGUAAGAGUGGAAACAACUAGAUCAAUGCAAACAAGAUACGAUAAAAAAUUCUAUUGCACUUCCACGAGUAGAAUGCAAAAUGAUAUUUUGAAAGAAAAUGAAAUCAUUUUGCAGGUGUCUUAAAACAGCUGCAUAUAUUUAAAACGUAAAUGGUGAGAAGAUACAAACUCUGCGUCUCUUACCUCAUGGGCAUUCAUGCCAUUCAGGUUAAAACAAUGCGAUACAGUGCCAUCAUAUGCCCUUCCUCCAAAACCCCAGGCUGGAAACCGCCUAUCAGAAUCGUAAAAUUGUAUGACCUCUCCAACUUCCAUUAUAGCCUGUUUAUAACAUCGUCAGUAAGUUAGCCACCAAUUUCAUUAACCGCUAGUGUUUGCUUCCAGAUUUCUCAAACAAGUUCGAUCUCAACAAAGACGAUCAACAUAAAUACACUUUGUUCUGUGCAAACUUAAUACAUUGCAAAUAUUCUUAUGCUAUCUCAUGGAAAACAUUCUGCUAAAUAGUAGUGCAGUAUUAAAAGCCAUUCCAGCCUUACCUGCUGGUAAGAAUUCAAUCGCCUUGAAGGAUCAAUGUAGUGCAAAGAAUCAGGAUUUCGAGGAUUUCCAUUUGAAGCUAAAAAAGUCAAACGUGUAAAUUAUGAACCAGAACAUGAGACCAGGAACAGGAAAAUAAAAGCCUCAGCUAAAGAUAUCAAAGGGCACAAAGAUUAUUUACCUGUAAAGUCAAUGGCAACCAUGAAAUUUAGCUCAAAUCCACUAGAUAUGUAGUCAAGGAAACUGAAUUGCACCUUCUCGAUAAAUUCAUCUACGAAGAGCUGACCCUUCAAGACCUGUAAGGCAAAAUUAUGUUUAAGAACACAUUGACAUAUUUUAGGUUGAAAAUCUGAUGCCAAACAUGGAUGAGCACCUUCUCCUGACCCCGAUGAGACGGGAAUACCAAAUUUGCACCGCUUCUGUCUUUGUAAAGCUCUUCCAACUCUGAAACUGAUUUCUGAAGUUUGCUGAUUAAGUAAAUAAGAAAAUCCUAAAUCACUUCUUUCUUCCCAGGCAUCAAACAUUUUCAUCUAUUAAAAGCUAAAAAUGAAAAAAACCAACAAUGCAGAGACCAGAAAUUUCAAUCAUUACCCAAUGAGAGCAUGAUCGCCAUUGCUGUUGAAAUCGAAACACUCGAUAACUAAUGGGUUGUCCUGUAAUCAACAUAGAACAUACAAAAGUAACCAUGGUGCCAAAAAUCUCAUAAACUCUUAAGAUAUUAUCACAAGAAUCAUAAAGAGAUAACAAGCUUGCCUUGCUUCCAAACUGUUGCAUGCUCAGAUAUAAGGCUCUCCAAACUGGAUAUAAAUUGUUGUUUAUCACCUCUGUCUUGCAUAUUGGGACAGAAUUUCCACUUUCAAGUAGUCUUGAAAUUCUCAAGAAAGGAUCCUAUAAGCAAAAGAGAAUAGGAUGAAAGUUCGAACACAUACACGCAUAUGAACAGACCAAAUCUAGAUGCAUCAUGAGUACAUACACUUUUAGAAAACAUGUCCUUGUUGUCCAACUGGGAACAACGCAAUUUCAUCUCAACAGCCAUUCUGGAUGAAAAGUUUUCUUCAGCAUGGACAGUCAAUGUCCCUAAGUUUCUGGAACCUCCAGGCCCAUUUCUGCUAUGGAGAUUGAGAGUUAAAGAUUGAUUUCUUUUGGUCACUAUCUGCCAAGCAAAAGUGAAGCCACAUAUGUUAGCACUAAGCAUGGUUUAACCAAUCAUUCUAACUGGUUUUAAGCCACUUAUUUUGGAAAGUUAGCAUUAGCAAGCAAAUUCGGUUGUCGACCAAUGGGAAUCAAUAGAUUUUAGCUGUCAUGAUGGAAAGUAUAGUGCAGGUUUUCAAGAACUGCACUUGAAAGACAGUAGAAACAAAUGAAAUAAUUCUAACAGUACUUCCCGAGUUGAAACUAAGGAAACACAUCAACAUCCAAGGAGCAAUAAUGGAUGCAAGGCAACUCACCUCGGACAGAACACAAGUGGCUUCUCCCAAAAAUUCCUGCUCAUUCAACUUUAGCGCCUAGAAUGCAACACAACAAAAAGUUGAAUAACAUAGUUCAGUCUUCACCUUCAGCAAAUUUCUCAUCAAUCUUGGAAUCAUUACACCAAAGAACAAAAAAAAAAAAAAAAACAGAACACAGAUGUUUCCAUUAAUUUGUAAUAUUCAGCCUUUCAAGAGAUUUCUCUCAAAAUUGUCCAGCCUAAUGCAAUCUUCACUUGUUGUAUCUAUUGUGAGCAUCCAUCUUGAGUGAAUAAAUGUCUAUUUACUCAAAUAACAGUCUUGUUUUCAUGAUCGCCAAUUCCAUUUAUAUAAAUUUGAACAGCUAUUCAGUGUAUCAGCACAAAAUUGUACGAUUAUGAAAUUCACAUAUUUUUUAAACCAAAAUAAAAAGCAACAAGCUUACGUUACCACUUUAAUUUACUUCCAUCCAAAUAUUCUUUGCAAGGCUUCUUUUGUGUGUCAAAGUAAGUAGUGGAACUUAUCUUGUCUUAUGGUAAAUUCCAUAUGCCGAGAAGAAAAGGAAAAAGAAAAGCUGUAAUACCAAUUUUCCAAAAUCAAAGAAUCUUUAUCAAACAACUUUUUUUUUUUCACUCGUUGGAAACUUUUCAACCGGAAGUAAAAUUUGUAAAACACUUUUAUAUCUAAGCCCAUACACAUCAGCAGUCAUUCUUUUAUGAUGGUUCAUCAUAAACUUCUUAGCCUCCUCAAGUGUUAUGAUCCUAUAUGAAUGAAUUACUAAAUUCAUUUAGAAAGGACUUUCAUUUCUGAAAUCUAAGAAGGAAUUUCGUCUACCACAAUACAAACUUAAAAAACCUUAUGAUUAUUGAUUGCUAAAGAUGUCAUGAUAAAUGUGACAUUGUCUACUGAUAUCUUUGCAGAAUCAGUCAAAGCCUUGAAAGAUAAAUUGUGACUUACCUUCACAGGUAUGCCUUGAAAUUUGGUGUCCACAUCAUAUAUAUGAAAACUGGAGCAGAGGGAAAAGAGAGGAACAUCAAUCUCACAAUCCACACAGACACACACACAAACCUAUUGUAUACCUGGAAGAAAAAUCGAUCAGAAAGAUAUAGACAUUUAAGAAAAUAUGAGAUGCUUACACCAAAUGUUGAACAAUCUCAAACUGAUAAGCAACAUUGAUCUUCUCAAUCCAAGCAGGAUUGAGACUGUUCAGUAUGACUUCUGUGCGACCAAGCUCCUCUAGUGUCCCAUCCCUUUUCUUUACAUACAAAAUUGUCAUAGGAUCACUCUACAAGAAAACAAAAAACUGUUUCAGAUUAAACCCACUAAAAUCACAGGACACUGGCAAUUGUGAAGUCAAUUUUUACAGUGACAUGCAGUAAAAGACCUGACUUUUCAGAUAAUUUUUAUGAUGCAUUGCAUUUUCUAAUCCUCUUUUGUUAACAUGUUGAACGUCAAUGAGGUACGUAGUCAUGUCAUAAAAUUUCAAAACUUGUAAUCAGAAAAAUGAUAAGAGGCAAAUAAAAACUGUUUGUUCAAUAGGCACUUAAUUACACAGAAAAAUGAAGAAAAGAACACAUCAAGAAUCUUACCUUUGAUGUGAUGUCACGAUCACGUAACUUUGAAGCUGAUAUAGACAACUGCAAUGCACAUUAGAAUCACAGUAAUACACCAUAACGGGCAGAGUUCUUGUACACAUUAUAAACUUAAUACAACCAUAGAAUGCAUCUAUUAUUUAUAGUUGCAUAUUUUAAUGUAUCCUAUUAUGCCAACUGCAUCGAAUGACAUUGUUUCUCAUGCAGCAUUAAGAUGUUUGGAAACAGCUACAUGAUUGCACUUUUAGUUAGCAAAAAGGCUGCUUAUGGACUGCGAAAAUGAACUUCUCAUUGAUAUAAUAGAGGAGAACAGAGAGCACCUAUAUAUUCUUUGCAGGAACAGGACAAUUCUAGUAUUUGAUCAUACUGAGCAGGAAGAUAGGUAUCAAAUCUCUUUCAAUCAAUUUAUAUUUAUCAUUUUAAAUAUGUCAGAGACACUAUGGCAUUAGACCCUUCACGUGCGUAAACUUGAUUUCAAGCAUGAGACGUGAAAAGUUGGUAGCUUGAUGCACUCAUGUGGAUACUUAUUAUUUAUUACUCCCGUGAGGAAUAAUUGGAAGUGCUACAGCUAAAAAAGGUCCAAAUGAUUGCCCCCUAGUAGGGCCUAGCUCACAAGACAUUCACAUCAGUGGAAACUGAAAGAAUCAAACAAAAGCAUCUUGUGCUCCUAUGUCCCUCCAAAAUACAAAAUUCUAGUCAUCCAAGGUAUGAACAAGGGGAAUAAAGAAAUAUAUCAUCUCAAAACUUUCCCCAUAGUCAAAGUUCUAUAAGCAAAUGAUUGAACUCAUGGUAUCUGCUUUUCAGCCGACUAUUUCAAUAUCACAGAAUCUAGAAAAUGAGAACCUUUCAAUGUUUCAGCCAGGGAAACAAUAGUUAGGAAAACGUAUUGAAGAGGAUUAGUUUAAUUUAAAGCAGGUGGCCUAAGCUUGCUAGCAAAAACCAACAUUAUUACAUCAAUUAAGCAGUAACAGAAUAAGCCAGAAACAUCAACUUUGCAUGAUGACUGAUGCAGAGAAACAGAAACAAAUUUAAGGGUAAACAUCACCACCACUGCCACAUAAACAUAGAACCACUACUCCAUAAAUUACUACUAGGUUGUUCUGGGAAAUUUGAGACAUGAAACUUAACCAGUCAGUAGAAAACAAUUCCGGGUAACUAAAAUAUUCAUCCAAAGGGUCUGAUUAAAGUAUAAUCCAGUUCAUAGGCAGAUCUCAAUGCCCUGUAUGCAACUAAGAAUCACUAAACCUCAUUAAUCAGUCCCAGCAUGUACAAACACACCUUAAACAUUAUGGUAAUAAAAUAAGUGAUUAAUUUAAAAGUUAAAAAAAUUCCUUCCUUUGUCUAGUGCUAAACAGAAAACUUAUGAUUCUUUGAUGCAAAACCUCUAUCAGAAACUUAAAAACAGCGCGAAAUAUAAGAUAAAUUUGAAAUAUUUAUUGAUACAACACAUCAAAAAAUUGUUUUAAUAUAGAUAUAAAUAAAAAAUAUUAUACCUCAAUUUGGGUAAAAAGAGGAUUUUGACCUCUAGCUCUGAAAAAGUGAUCAACGGCGUCGUUAUGUCCCGCGUUAUUAUUGGCGGUGGGCCUACCUUGAACCCCACCUAUUGCUUGUUUGCCUCCUCCCACAUCUCCAGAGAUGCAAUUUCCCAUUUCUUUCUCUCCUCUCGCUAGCUAAAGUAAAAAAAAAAUCCCAAAUUAUUUACAAAGAAAAACCUAAAUUAGCUCUUUAAACCAUGUAUUUCUUGAAACUUAAAGAUUUGAUUUUGCAUUUCUUUAAUAAAGUGCUUGCCUUGCCCGGAAAGAAAGUCCUUAAUAAUAUUCCCCUAAAUGGCCGCUCUUGUUAAUAAAAAAAUAUUGCCUGAGUCAGGUUUGAUUUAUUUGUGUUUGUUUCCCACGAAACUUUUGGGUAAAAUUAAAGUUCGAGAGAGGAAAAAAAAGAAAAAACUGAAACUUUGUAGCGAAAUUGUAGGUUAAUUUAAGGGUUUAAAGUCGGUCUGAUGUACAAAAUUGGAAAGGAUUGAUUGCCGAGUGGUAUGGUCAAAGAAUAGUCAACAACAUAGAAAAAUAAAAGAUCGGUCAAAAUAGCCGUAAACUUUUGUAUUAAAUUCUUUUUUAUUUGGUAAUUGAGAGAGGGGAUACUAUUGAGCCAAAUGCUCAAAUUUGUAUUAAAUUCUUAAUGUCAAUAAAACUAAUUUUCUCCCAUAAAAUCGUUGCCCGAAAAUACGAAGCAAAAUGAUACGGAUAAGAAGUUAAUAACUUUGAAUAUCUGUUAAAUUCUAGUAAUAAUUUAAGCUUUUAUAGUUCUAUUCAAUCAUACAAAAAUAAUCUUAAAAAUUAUAAAUUCGGGUUAUGAUAUCAUACCUGAUUUAAAGAAAUGUCUACGAGUUGAGUUAGAUAAAACUUGAUUGAUACUUUUAAAACCUUAUCGAUUGAUUCGUAUCUGCUCAUAUAAACACAUAUAAUUAAAUUUAUUAUUAAAAUAUGAAAAUAUUUUAUAUUAAUAUUUUAAUUUUUAAGUAUAUUUUAGAAUUAAAAUCUUUAUUUAUAUAAUAAAAUAAUUUUGACAUUUUGUACUUAAAAAUGUUUCCGAACUAGUAAAAAAAAAUUUCAAAUAAACUCUUAUUCAUUCUUUUAAGUUUCGAGUUCUUAUUUUUUUAUUUUAAAUCGAAUAAGUUUUUAUAACUAAUAGUUGAUUAACUAUUAUCAGUCAAAACGUUACUUAUAAUUUUAUAUCACAUCGUGCUAAUGUGGGUAUGUUGACAUAUUGUAGUGAAUGAUGACACGGCAUGAUGACAUGGUUGCAUGGCAUUUUCACCCUUCAUAUCAAGGCCUGACAGCAUCACGUGAUCAUAAAAAUGAUAAUUAGUCAACUGUUAGGUAUAAAUAUUUAUUUGACUCAAAAUAAAUAUAUCAAAAUUUAAUUAAAUGUAAUAGAAGAAUAGAAAUUUAUUUAAAAUUUUUUAAUAAUUUAAAUUUUUUUUAAAAUAUUAUGCCAAUAGUUUUAAUAACAUGUAUAGUUUCCAAAUCAUUGAUCGUUUUGGUCAUUUUAACAAAGAGAACAAAAAAUAUUUAAAAACUUGUAAUGAUUUUUGCUAAAUCAAUUUUACUUAUAAGAUUACGAUGUGAAAAAUCAAUUAAAAUCAUGAAAUUUUCUUACUAAGUUGAGAGAGUAUGAAUUUAAAUUUUCUUUUUUUUUUGAAAAUAAGAAAAAGAAUUUAAAAUUUUCUUCUUUAUUAAAAUUGUACCAUUGAUUAAAAAACUAUUAUUCUUUUUAAAAUCAAAGCAUGUCAUGCGCUCGUUGAAUGACAAAAGAUAAAUAUUUCUCAGUAAAUAGGAGAGAAUAGAGGAAAGAAGAAUGCAAUUUUUAACCUAUAGUUCCUUAUUUAUUAAAAAAAUAAUAUUUUAAAAAACAUUUGAAUUAUUUAAAAGAAUUCAAAAAAAUCUUUAUUUUUUUAUUGUAUUCAAUUAAUUUCUUAUAUUUUAUUUUUUGUCAAAUAAAUCCUUACGAAUAAUGGUAAAUUGAUUAUUAUUAAUCAAAAUAUUACUUAUUAUUAGUAUGAUGAUAUGGUAACAUGAUCUUUUUCACCAUAAAUGUCAGUAUCAGGUGGAUAUAAAAGAAUAAGUGAUAUUUUAAUUAAGAGUAAUUAAUCAACUAUUAAUCAUAAGAGUCUAUUUGACCUAAAAUAAAAAUUAUAAAUUUAAUUGAAUGUAAUAUCAAAAUAAAAAUUUAUUUAAAAUUUUUUUAAAUAAUUAAAUAACUUUUUAAAGUAUUAUGCCAUUAUAGAAAAAGACAAAGAAAAAUGUAAAAAAAAAAAUAAAUAAAAAUAUAACAGUCGCCAAAUUGAUCUGAUAUUAAUUAAUCAACUAACCUCACCUCAUUUAUAUAUAUAGACACAAAGUCAUAUACACUAUUGUCAAGCUCCCUUGAAACGAUCGACAAAUUAUUACAAAAAAUAUAGCAAAAGAAAGAAAGAAAGAAAGGAAUUUAUAAAGACUUACGUGAUUAUGGUGGAGCAAAAACUCAGAACUUGGUUACUUAGUAGGAUUUAGAUUCUCUUUGGCUUUCGUCUCUUCUUCUUUUCCUUCAUUUCUUCCUCGUCUUGCAUGUAUUUAUAGGAAAGGACGGAUAAUCUGACAACCAAAUUACUCGGUUUCACGUCAUGGAUAACAUGUCAGCCAUGAGGACAUUGGUCUUCCUUCAAUAUUCUACUUUAUGAAGAAAUCCAUGCUUGGAAUAAAAGCAGAAACCUCUGUUUGUUUCUUGAAUGAGAGACCAGUUGGAAAACGCAGACAAGCCUUUUAAUUUUAUCAUUUGCCUCGCAAUUUACAUACAAACAUACAUACAUGCAUGCGUACAUCAAAACUUUCUCAAAGUCUACAAGUCAAUAUUGAUCUUAUCCAUUUCGCAAGGAAAAGAAAAGAUUUUUCUAAUUACGACGGCUUUGUGGAAUAUUUCCAAUCCAUGGAAAUUCAACCUUUGGGUGGGUUGUUUCGCUAGUUCAAUGAAAUUUCAGGGUUUGGAAGAGUUGGACCAUUUGCAAUUGAACUCUCUUUUAUGUACACUACAAUUGUGCAAUUGCCCUUUAUACUAUCAAAAAUAAUAAAAAAAAAAGUUAAGAAAUAGAAACUCACUAAUAAACUUUUGUUUACCUAGUGGCAAUUUGCGGAUCAAACAGUGAUUUUAUAAUGUUAUAAAUAUUGUUGUGAAUCGAUUUGAUGUUAUAAUGUUAUAAAUAUUGUUGUGAAUAGAUUUUUACUUAUUAGACACGUGAUAUAAUGUUAUAAAAAUAAUAAAAGAGUAGACAUCGAAUCGGGACAAGUAAUUUGCAUUCGUUUAUAGAAAGCUUUUAAUUAGUGAAGGUGUUAACUAAUAUAAAAUACUUUGCCUAUUAUAAAAUAAUAAUAAUAAGAUUUUGACAUUAAGUUUUACCUAUUCCACUUUUGUCAUAUUCUAACAACUGUAAAUUAACCAAGAAAAAAGCUACUUCUAGGAAUAAUGGGUUGCGUGCAAUCAAUCCAAUUUGGUCAUUUUUUACACUUGAAAUUAGAUAAAUAUUAACUUCAAAUAUGUAUUGAUUAAGAUGUGAAGUCUUUCGCGUUUCACUAGUUGACCAAAGACUAAAAGUCUAUUUGUUAAAGUACACACUCCAUGAUACCUUAUAACCAUUAUUUUCGUUAAGAUAAAAUUACGAGAGAUAAUUUUCUUUAUAAGCUUAAAUAUCAUAUAUUAUAAUUUUAAUUAUUUUUAGUUAAUUUUUGACAUGAUUUGAUAACAAUAUCCUUUAAAUAAUUUCAGACAAAUUAAGAUGAUUUCGAUUUUCUCUAUCUAGCUAUCCAGACAAAAAUUUUAAAAUUAAAUCUCGAUUUCUCUUUCUUGCCAAAUACUAUCUAUCUCACCAUCUAGCUCUUUCUCGCUAUCCCAAAGAGCAAAGACGACAUCAAGAUAUACGUUUUAGGUUUUUGGGUUUAUUGGUUUAUAUUUAUAAAAUCUCAAAGUUAAAGAUUGAAAUUGAUUAGAUAUAUGUAUAAAUUAAAACACUGUAUGACUUUGGUAACUUAAACCUGCGAGCAAGUAAAUCAAUUAAUUAUUAGGUAUUGCAUUACUGAUUUUUAGACAUUGUGUCACUAGUUUUUAGGUAUUGUGAGACUGAUUUUUAAGCAUUACAUGACUUAAUCAUUGUGUCUUUGGUUUUUAAGCAUUGCGUGACUGGUUUUCAAGCAAUGCCUAAGUUACACAAUACUUAAACACUAGUCACGCAAUGCCUUAGUAACUAAUCACGUCAUACCUUAUUAGUUAUGCAAUGUCUAUCAAUCAAUCAUGAAAUGCUAUAUCAACCAGUCACGCAAUACCUAAAAAUCAAUCAUGUGACUGGUUUUUAAGCAUUACGUGGUUAGAUUUGUAAGCACUAUGUGAUUGAUUUUUAAGUAAUGUCUAAGUCAUACAAUACCUAAAUACUAGUCACUCAAUACCUUAGCUAGUCACGCAAUACCUUACUAACUAGUCAUGCAAUGCCUAUCAACCAAUCAUAAAAUGUCAUAUCAAUCAGUUAUGUAAUACCUAAAAAUCAGUCACGUAAUACUUAAAAAUUAGUCACGCAAUGCUAAAAAACCAAUUAUGUAAUAGUUAAAAACUACUGAAUUUCAUUUAAUAAAAUCAACAACUUCAAACAACACACCAUAUUCCACUUAACAAUAUAAUUAAUGAAUAUGCUUACUUGACGAAGAAUGCUCAAAAUGUUCAAAGAUUUUUCUUCAUACAUCAAAAAUCACUCUAAAAUGCUUAAAAUGCUCAAAAUGUACAAAAAUUUUUCUUCGUGUAUCAAAAACUACUCCAAAAUGUUCAAAAUGCUUAAAGUUUUUUUUAUCCGACAAGAAAUACUUUAAAGAUGAAUGGUCUUACGAGAAAAGCUCAAAGAAUAUGAGUCAGUUUGAAACGCGAACUUGAACAUAUGGGUCAGUUUUAUUAAAGGUAAUUUUGUCUAAAAUUAAUUUCUCUUAACAAAAAAUAACUAAAAUUAUAAAAAGAAUUAUUUCUAAAAACAUCUUAUUUAUGAGGAGUAUUUUUGAAAAGAACCCAUUCAUUAAUCAUUAAUUAUCUAUUCAUAAUUUAUCCAUUAUAGAAUAAAAUUAUAAAACCUGACCCUAUAAACACAUGUCAUGACAUACAUGCACUGAGUAGCAUAUUAUUAUACUAGGAAAGCACCUAAGAAUAGACGAAACUCGGUAUCGUACCUAACGGUACACUUGAGUUAAUUUAACCUCGAACUAGUUCAAAUAGGAAUUGUAGGAUGAAAUUUAAUAUUUUAUAGUCCAAGAAUGACUAAAAAUGAUUGUUCAGAGUUCGAGGGUUCAUUAGGGGUAAAAUUGAAAAUUUUGAUGUUCAGGGGCAAAAAUCAUCAUUUUGCCACCUAAGAUAAUAAUUUGAUCAUGGAGUGAAAUUUUUGACCAAGAUUAACUUUUUGGAGUAUAAUUUAAUGAUAGGAAGUGAAAAAUUUCAAUUCCGGCAAUUUUCGAAACAUAGGGGCAAAACGAUAAUUUUAUCAUCCCGGGGUAAAAACCGUAAUUUUCACCACCCAAAACUUGUCAAAAUCAUAGGAUUUAUAUAUUUUUGGUAUGAACAACUACGGUAUGUUAAGUGGUGAAAAAUUGAAGUUUAAAAGACGAAAAUUUAAAAACGGGCCAAUGAGAAAGUGACACAUGACACUUUUUAAUGAUUUAAUAUUAUUUUAAUGAAAAGUCAGCCCAUUUAAACCCCAUAUUAAGUGCUGGCCGGCCAUAAGGGAAGAAUAAGAGAGAAAAUAGAGAGGAAAGGAAGAAAAGAGAAAAACAAAGGAAAACUAGAAAAUUCAAAGGGGAAAUCGCGUUUUUCGUCCGUUUACGCGUCUAACAGUAAGAUUUUUCAAUUUUAGCUUGAUUUCUACCUUUCCUAUGCCUUUAUUUCCAUUAAGCAUGCUUGAGGAGAGAGAUCAAAAAGUGAUAUAAAGGGCUGGAUGAAAUUCUGGGAGAGAGAUUUUGAAAUUUUUAUGUUUUGAUUUUUAGUUAAAUUGAUAGUUUUAGUUAGUUAAAUGUGUAUAGAAAUCAAAUUGGGUAAGAAAGCAUGAAAUUUUCACAAUACCCACCAUUGGCUGAAUGUUCAAUGAUGUACAAUGAUGAUGAACUGANNNNNNNNNNNNNNNNNNNNNNNNNNNNNNNNNNNNNNNNNNNNNNNNNNNNNNNNNNNNNNNNNNNNNNNNNNNNNNNNNNNNNNNNNNNNNNNNNNNNNNNNNNNNNNNNNNNNNNNNNNNNNNNNNNNNNNNNNNNNNNNNNNNNNNNNNNNNNNNNNNNNNNNNNNNNNNNNNNNNNNNNNNNNNNNNNNNNNNNNNNNNNNNNNNNNNNNNNNNNNNNNNNNNNNNNNNNNNNNNNNNNNNNNNNNNNNNNNNNNNNNNNNNNNNNNNNNNNNNNNNNNNNNNNNNNNNNNNNNNNNNNNNNNNNNNNNNNNNNNNNNNNNNNUGAAUUGGGUAAAUUUUGCAAUGUGUUUAGGAGGAGAGCCUUCCGGUAAAGGCAAGGAAGUCGUACCCGACGAACAGUGAUCGGGGCACCUAAAAAUCAGUUAAUUUGUACAAACGGUGAGUAAACCUAUUAUUAUUGUAAAUUAUCUAGAGUUUAUUUUUAAAUGCUCUUUAUGUAUUUUAUGAAAUGAAAACGAGAUUAAAACGGUAUUUUUGAUGUUUUAGAAAUAAAUGUGACAAAUAAAAAUAUAUUGUGUUGAUUAUGAAAUUGAAUAAUUGGAAGCUACCGAUUAUUUUGAAAUAUAUAUUUUCCUAUGAAUGGCUUAUGAAAUAUGAGUAUAUGUGGCUAUAUUUUAUAAUUGCAUUGGGAAUAGAAUGUAAGCUAUCUUUUACUAUGCAGGUUGGAUAAAUAAAUAAAAGCCACGUUAUACUAUCGAAAUUUUAUUAAAAUUGGUGGGUUUAGUCACUGCAAUGACGGGUUUCCGUGAACUACCUAUUAGAGGGGUACGGUAAAUCCAGUUACAUAAUUACUCCGGUUGUAGAGGCGAGAAGGGUAACUCCCGGGGUAGUAUUAGAGCUCAUUUCACGUCGAACCCCCACGUGAAUGUGUAACUUGGCCAACGCUAAGGAACGACUUGUUUUAAAAAUAAAAAAUGUGUUUCACAUGUAAAUAUCAUAACAACCUUGGCGGACUCGGUUAUAUGCCUCGGCCAAGGUAUCCCCGAUGACUAGUUUUGGCUUGAGCCUUGUUUUAAUAAAAGUCAUAAGCCUUAACAACUAUUUUGGUAAAUUACAAAUAUUUUAUGGUUUAAGGAAUAAAUUGAAAACCUUAUGAAAUAGUUUGUAAUUUGUUGUUUAAACUUGCCUCCAUGUUACUCGCCUUUAGAUAUUUAUGAUAAUAUCUGUUUACUUAUUGAGAUUGCAAAAUCUCAUCCACCUCCUUUCCAAACAUUUCAGGUCUGUGGUAGCUUGUAGAUACCUUAUUUUGUCGAGGAUUCCAUUUGACAUCUCUAUCUCACAGACAGUAAGUUACUAUCACCAACACUUGGUGUAUUUAUAGGCCACUUGUCAUUGUAAUUAUUAUUGUACAUUAUAACUUUAUAAAUUAUUGUAUGUAUGAAUUUAUUUUAUUUUCACGUUAUAAAAGAUUUCUUACACGUAUUUCUAUAAAUAUUAUUUUAUAUAAAAAAUUUUAUAUUUUAAUCAAUAUUUUGAAUAGUAAUAUUUGUCUAUAAAUCUUUUUAAAAUAUUUUUGUCUUUUGAUUUACUUGAGCCGAAAACUACUGAAAAUUGUUUAAAAUAGAAUGUUUAAAAACGAUUUCUCACAGAAAAGGCAAGAAAUUGAUAUGUAAGCUUUGCGGGAUUCUGAUUGGCAUUCCGAAUAAUGAGUGUCAAUCGGGACGUCGCGACGGUUGUCAUGGAUCCGAGAGAGGUUCCGGGUCGUGACAAAAAUGUAUUAUGAAAAUGUACAAUCAUCAUUAGAAAUUAUUGUACAAUCUAGAUUAACAUUCUUCUCAAGGAUAGCAAUG